CACCGAAGCUGCGGCAGCGACACUGUGUGUUGUUGGGUAGGGGAGCGUUCUGUAAGCCUGUGAAGGUGUGCUGUGAGGCAUGCUGGAGGUAUCAGAAGUGCGAAUGCUGACAUAAGUAACGAUAAAGCGGGUGAAAAGCCCGCUCGCCGGAAGACCAAGGGUUCCUGUCCAACGUUAAUCGGGGCAGGGUGAGUCGACCCCUAAGGCGAGGCCGAAAGGCGUAGUCGAUGGGAAACAGGUUAAUAUUCCUGUACUUGGUGUUACUGCGAAGGGGGGACGGAGAAGGCUAUGUUGGCCGGGCGACGGUUGUCCCGGUUUAAGCGUGUAGGCUGGUUUUCCAGGCAAAUCCGGAAAAUCAAGGCUGAGGCGUGAUGACGAGGCACUACGGUGCUGAAGCAACAAAUGCCCUGCUUCCAGGAAAAGCCUCUAAGCAUCAGGUAACAUCAAAUCGUACCCCAAACCGACACAGGUGGUCAGGUAGAGAAUACCAAGGCGCUUGAGAGAACUCGGGUGAAGGAACUAGGCAAAAUGGUGCCGUAACUUCGGGAGAAGGCACGCUGAUAUGUAGGUGAAGUCCCUCGCGGAUGGAGCUGAAAUCAGUCGAAGAUACCAGCUGGCUGCAACUGUUUAUUAAAAACACAGCACUGUGCAAACACGAAAGUGGACGUAUACGGUGUGACGCCUGCCCGGUGCCGGAAGGUUAAUUGAUGGGGUCAGCGCAAGCGAAGCUCUUGAUCGAAGCCCCGGUAAACGGCGGCCGUAACUAUAACGGUCCUAAGGUAGCGAAAUUCCUUGUCGGGUAAGUUCCGACCUGCACGAAUGGCGUAAUGAUGGCCAGGCUGUCUCCACCCGAGACUCAGUGAAAUUGAACUCGCUGUGAAGAUGCAGUGUACCCGCGGCAAGACGGAAAGACCCCGUGAACCUUUACUAUAGCUUGACACUGAACAUUGAGCCUUGAUGUGUAGGAUAGGUGGGAGGCUUUGAAGUGUGGACGCCAGUCUGCAUGGAGCCGACCUUGAAAUACCACCCUUUAAUGUUUGAUGUUCUAACGUGGACCCGUGAUCCGGGUUGCGGACAGUGUCUGGUGGGUAGUUUGACUGGGGCGGUCUCCUCCUAAAGAGUAACGGAGGAGCACGAAGGUUGGCUAAUCCUGGUCGGACAUCAGGAGGUUAGUGCAAUGGCAUAAGCCAGCUUGACUGCGAGCGUGACGGCGCGAGCAGGUGCGAAAGCAGGUCAUAGUGAUCCGGUGGUUCUGAAUGGAAGGGCCAUCGCUCAACGGAUAAAAGGUACUCCGGGGAUAACAGGCUGAUACCGCCCAAGAGUUCAUAUCGACGGCGGUGUUUGGCACCUCGAUGUCGGCUCAUCACAUCCUGGGGCUGAAGUAGGUCCCAAGGGUAUGGCUGUUCGCCAUUUAAAGUGGUACGCGAGCUGGGUUUAGAACGUCGUGAGACAGUUCGGUCCCUAUCUGCCGUGGGCGCUGGAGAACUGAGGGGGGCUGCUCCUAGUACGAGAGGACCGGAGUGGACGCAUCACUGGUGUUCGGGUUGUCAUGCCAAUGGCACUGCCCGGUAGCUAAAUGCGGAAGAGAUAAGUGCUGAAAGCAUCUAAGCACGAAACUUGCCCCGAGAUGAGUUCUCCCUGACCCUUUAAGGGUCCUGAAGGAACGUUGAAGACGACGACGUUGAUAGGCCGGGUGUGUAAGCGCAGCGAUGCGUUGAGCUAACCGGUACUAAUGAACCGUGAGGCUUAACCUU
rnacentral:rRNA from 1 species